rnacentral:rRNA from 1 species
GACGAACGCUGGCGGCGUGCCUAAUACAUGCAAGUCGAACGCUUCUUUCCUCCCGAGUGCUUGCACUCAAUUGGAAAGAGGAGUGGCGGACGGGUGAGUAACACGUGGGUAACCUACCCAUCAGAGGGGGAUAACACUUGGAAACAGGUGCUAAUACCGCAUAACAGUUUAUGCCGCAUGGCAUAAGAGUGAAGGGCGCUUUCGGGUGUCGCUGAUGGAUGGACCCGCGGUGCAUUAGCUAGUUGGUGAGGUAACGGCUCACCAAGGCCACGAUGCAUAGCCGACCUGAGAGGGUGAUCGGCCACACUGGGACUGAGACACGGCCCAGACUCCUACGGGAGGCAGCAGUAGGGAAUCUUCGGCAAUGGACGAAAGUCUGACCGAGCAACGCCGCGUGAGUGAAGAAGGUUUUCGGAUCGUAAAACUCUGUUGUUAGAGAAGAACAAGGACGCUAGUAACUGAACGUCCCCUGACGGUAUCUAACCAGAAAGCCACGGCUAACUACGUG